rnacentral:rRNA from 1 species
AGAGUUUGAUCAUGGCUCAGAUUGAACGCUGGCGGCAGGCCUAACACAUGCAAGUCGAGCGGUAGAGAGAAGCUUGCUUCUCUUGAGAGCGGCGGACGGGUGAGUAAUGCCUAGGAAUCUGCCUGGUAGUGGGGGAUAACGCUCGGAAACGGACGCUAAUACCGCAUACGUCCUACGGGAGAAAGCAGGGGACCUUCGGGCCUUGCGCUAUCAGAUGAGCCUAGGUCGGAUUAGCUAGUUGGUGAGGUAAUGGCUCACCAAGGCGACGAUCCGUAACUGGUCUGAGAGGAUGAUCAGUCACACUGGAACUGAGACACGGUCCAGACUCCUACGGGAGGCAGCAGCGGGGAAUAUUGGACAAUGGGCGAAAGCCUGAUCCAGCCAUGCCGCGUGUGUGAAGAAGGUCUUCGGAUUGUAAAGCACUUUAAGUUGGGAGGAAGGGCAUUAACCUAAUACGUUAGUGUUUUGACGUUACCGACAGAAUAAGCACCGGCUAACUCUGUGCCAGCAGCCGCGGUAAUACAGAGGGUGCAAGCGUUAAUCGGAAUUACUGGGCGUAAAGCGCGCGUAGGUGGUUCGUUAAGUUGGAUGUGAAAUCCCCGGGCUCAACCUGGGAACUGCAUUCAAAACUGACGAGCUAGAGUAUGGUAGAGGGUGGUGGAAUUUCCUGUGUAGCGGUGAAAUGCGUAGAUAUAGGAAGGAACACCAGUGGCGAAGGCGACCACCUGGACUGAUACUGACACUGAGGUGCGAAAGCGUGGGGAGCAAACAGGAUUAGAUACCCUGGUAGUCCACGCCGUAAACGAUGUCAACUAGCCGUUGGGAGCCUUGAGCUCUUAGUGGCGCAGCUAACGCAUUAAGUUGACCGCCUGGGGAGUACGGCCGCAAGGUUAAAACUCAAAUGAAUUGACGGGGGCCCGCACAAGCGGUGGAGCAUGUGGUUUAAUUCGAAGCAACGCGAAGAACCUUACCAGGCCUUGACAUCCAAUGAACUUUCCAGAGAUGGAUUGGUGCCUUCGGGAACAUUGAGACAGGUGCUGCAUGGCUGUCGUCAGCUCGUGUCGUGAGAUGUUGGGUUAAGUCCCGUAACGAGCGCAACCCUUGUCCUUAGUUACCAGCACGUAAUGGUGGGCACUCUAAGGAGACUGCCGGUGACAAACCGGAGGAAGGUGGGGAUGACGUCAAGUCAUCAUGCCCCUUACGGCCUGGGCUACACACGUGCUACAAUGGUCGGUACAGAGGGUUGCCAAGCCGCGAGGUGGAGCUAAUCCCACAAAACCGAUCGUAGUCCGGAUCGCAGUCUGCAACUCGACUGCGUGAAGUCGGAAUCGCUAGUAAUCGCGAAUCAGAAUGUCGCGGUGAAUACGUUCCCGGGCCUUGUACACACCGCCCGUCACACCAUGGGAGUGGGUUGCACCAGAAGUAGCUAGUCUAACCUUCGGGAGGACGGUUACCACGGUGUGAUUCAUGACUGGGGUGAAGUCGGAACAAGGUAGCCGUAGGGGAACCUGCGGCUG